rnacentral:rRNA from 1 species
UACAGGGGGGGCAAGCGUUGUUCGGAAUUACUGGGCGUAAAGGGCUCGUAGGCGGCCAACUAAGUCACACGUGAAAUCCCCCAGGCUUAACCUGGGAACUGCGUGUGAUACUGGAUGGCUUGAAUUCGGGAGAGGGAUGCAGAAUUCCAGGUGUAGCGGUGAAAUGCGUAGAUAUCUGGAGGAAUACCGGUGGCGAAGGCGGCCCGCUGGGCAGGAAGAUGGAGCGAUCCAUCGGCUGACGCUGAGGCGCGACAGCGUGGGGAGCAAACAGG